GAUGAACGCUAGCUACAUGCCUAACACAUGCAAGUCGAGCGACCGGCGCACGGGUGAGUAACGCGUAUCCAACCUUCCCAUCCCUGUGGGAUAACCUGCCGUAAGGCAGACUAAUACCGCAUGGUAAUGGAUGGUGGUGCGUCUGAUUAGCUUGUUGGUGGGGUAACGGCCCACCAAGGCGACGAUCAGUAGGGGUUCGGAGAGGAAGGACCACCACAUUGGAGAUGAGACACAGUCCAAAAUCCGACGGAGGGGAGGAGAGAGGAAGAGAGGUCAAUGGGCGAGAGCCUGAACCAGCCAAGUAGCGUGCAGGAUGACGGGCUAGGGGAUGUAAACUGCUUUAGUAUGGGAAUAGGUACCAUACGAAUAAGGACCGGCUAAUUCCGUGCCAGCAGCCGCGGUAAUUC
rnacentral:rRNA from 1 species